AACUAUGUUAAUUUUUGCUGGACCCAUGACAGCAGUUCCAUCAAAGAGAACUUGUAGGGAAGAUAUAUCUAACAAAUAGUGACUAUAUGUUCUCAUCAUCAAGGAAUCUCUGCAGAUGCUGUAGCCUUUGUGCAUGUCUAUGCAUCAUCAAUUAUACCAUACUGAACUUUCCAAUCUAGUCAGAAGAAAACUAAGGCAAGGCUCCAGAAGAAUUUACUUUUCUUCUAAAUUUAAACAAGGAAAUGUCAUUAUAUAAUCUCAACUUGAAGCCAAUUGCACAAGAUUCUUUGUUGUUACUGAAUAUUUGUGCAAUAAGUUCUUUCUGGAGCAUCAGUUAUCCAGUGGACAUUUGAGAUGAUUUUUACCGUUACAUAAACAGUUUAGCUUUUGAGAGAUUUUUCAUUGGAAAAUUUCAUUAUCUUUAUCUCUAUCAAAGUGAUAGGCCCUCCAUAUUAUACAUCAUGGAAAAUAGUUGGUCUUAUUUAUUAAAGUUUUUAGAUAUUCCUUUUUUUUAUGGUAAAGGUAUAUCUUUUAAUGAUGUAUCAACGAAUAGCUUCUCCAUUGGAAAGGUAAUCCUCUGCAGGCACUCUAAUGUAUUUGAGGAAUAAAAGCACUAAAGAAAAAGGAAUUAAAAAUCCAGGUGAAAUCUUUUAAAGAACUCUGUAGAAAUCAAACUUUGUUAUGUAUGCGUGUAUAUAUAUGUUUGUGUGUAUACUCAUAUGCAUAUCUGUGGGUUUGUGUGGCUGUAUAAAAACUGUUUCUAUGCAACUUCCUUAAUACCACUUGAACAAAAAAUAGUGACAUUGUUGAUGUUCACCAGUAAACAAAAUUCCCAUAGAUUCAGUGUCAUCAGCAAUUUCAAUGUGUGAGGACCACUGGAAGAAAAACACAUUACCUGAAAAACAAAUGUGUUGAUGGCAAGAAGAGCAUCUGUCAUCAAAAUAUAAAAAAAUAAUGCCUCCACAUGAUUUGUCCAACAAAUGUCAGCAUAGACAAAAAAUGGAUAUAAAAUCCUUUUCUUACUGCUGCUACUACUACUACUUCUUAUAGAAGUUAAACAGGAGUUGGAAAUUUUUCUCUUUGAAUGGAUUACAGUUUUUCUAUUGUGAUAAGGAUUUUAUUUUCUUCAUUAAAGACAUUUCGAAAAGUA